rnacentral:tRNA from 1 species
UGGCUCAGUUGGUAGAGCAUGGUGUGUGCAACACCAGGGUUGUGGGUUCGACUCCCAC